rnacentral:rRNA from 1 species
CGUGUAGGCGGUCAAGUAGGUGAGAUGUGAAAUGCUCCGGCUUACCCGGAGACCGGCAUCUCAAACCGCUUGGCUUGAGUACGGGAGAGGGUGUGGGAAUUCCUGGUGUAGCGGUGAAAUGCGUAGAUAUCAGGAGGAACACCGGUGGCGAAGGCGCACACCUGGUCCGAUACUGACGCUGAGGCGCGAAAGCUAGGGGAGCAAACG